rnacentral:misc_RNA from 1 species
AAGUCGUAACAAGGUUUCCGUAGGUGAACCUGCGGAAGGAUCAUUAUCACGUAUCCACGUAUAAACCAAUCGAGAACUGUUAUCUAACCUUUGGGAGUUUAAGUUGAAUGGAGCGCUACAUAGUUCAUUGUGUGUGUUUUGAACUGCUCUAUUUGCUUUGAGUUGUUUCUCCGGAAUCACUCAUAACAUGACUUAUUCUUCUGAAGUGUAUUUAAACCACACUUUAAAACCCUAUUAACCACUUGAACCUUUUAUAUUAUCUUUGUUUGAACUGAUUUGUUUCUUACUCGAUCAGCAAUGGUUGAGAAGAAAUUUAUUACGAAACAUAAGAACAACUCUUAGCAACGGAUAUCUUGGUUCUC